UUGGGCCGAGUUGCUGUAGACCGUGGGCCGGGAGCAGUGGCAGCACUGGCAGGUGAUUGGGGCCCUUGGGAGCCAGCUCCACUCCCACCAUGCAGCACUGGAGCCCUGCCUGCCACCCAAGGCCAAGGAUUCCUGGCCAGCUGCAAGGCGACCAGAUGCCCCCUGGGGGACCUGUGACCUCUGCUGUGCCUGGUGGUUACCGUCCUGGGUCUAAGAGGUUUCUCCUGCCUUGGGAUAUCACCAUCACCCCAGAGUCAGCAGAAGGGAAGGGAAGAGAAGGGAAGGAAGAGGAAAGGUGGAGGAGGCAUCCCUUCUUACGUGUUUUUUUCUUUGGAGAGACAAAGUCUACCCCAUGGCCAGGGGUUCAUUCCUCCAGGAGGGGCAGGAGGCACAGGAAGAAGAGUAUGGGAGGAGCCACAUCUUUCCAAGAGGACAGAGGAUUCCUAGGAUCCCAGGUUCCUGGUCUGCCCCAGUACUCCCCACCCCCCUCCCGCCCAAAGAUCACAUGGACAAAGGCAACAAGUUCGUGUUAACCCAGUAACCACCUGCGGCACGUGAAGGUAUAUGUAAUGCAGAGCUGAAUGGGACAUAGAAUCUGUCCCCAAGGAGCUGAGAGCCAAAGCCUUGGCCACUUUGUCUGCUUGUGGCUCAUGUACCUGUGUCUUCGACUGAAAGUCACAAGAGAUUCUGGCAUGGGCUCUGCUGUGCACAGGGCACUCAGUAGCAUGCUUGGCACUUCAGCAUCGCUCCGUGAAUCUUUGUUGAAAGUAAAAGUUGUUUUUUUUUAAUCGGUACCGGGGGUCGAACUCAUGACUGCCUGCUUGCAAGGCAGGCGCUUAUGCUGCUGAGCUAAAUCCCCAGCCUCAAAAGUAAAAGUUUGAGAAAAGUGUUGCAAGAAAGGUUUCAUGUCUUUAUUCCUCAUCAUCAAAUUUCAGAGCCUGGAGCAUAGUGGUUGCUCCGACAACAUCAACUGAAAGAAAAAUUUAAAGAAUAAACAACAAAUGAGUGAGGGAGUGAGUGAAUAAAUGAAGCUUCUGGGAGCUGCAGGAAGAAUAAUUAGGUCUUGCUGGAGAAGGGGAUGUGAGGACAGAAAAGAAAGACCUGGUACUUGAAAGCUUCCUGCUGGGGGAUCUUCCGAAGGACUCUGUGAAGCCCUCUGAGGAGGUGAAAGAGCACCCCGUACAGCAAAAUCAAUUUUAAAAAUAUCUACAACGGUGCCUCAUGUGUGUCACUCGCCUGUGUUCCUGGCACUCUGGGAAACUGAGAUAGAAAGUUGGAAGUCUGAGCCCAGCCUGGGCAAUUUAGCAAUUUAGGGAGAUGUCUCACCAAAAAAAAAAAAAAAAAGAUAAAAA